rnacentral:rRNA from 1 species
AUUCCGGUUGAUCCUGCCGGAGGUCAUUGCUAUUGGAGUCCGAUUUAGCCAUGCUAGUUGUACGAGUUUAGGCUCGUAGCAGAUAGCUCAGUAACACGUGGCCAAACUACCCUAUGGAUCCAGACAACCUCGGGAAACUGAGGCUAAUCUGGAAUACGACUCUCAUCCUGGAGUGGAGAGAGUCCGAAACGCUCCGGCGCCAUAGGAUGUGGCUGCGGCCGAUUAGGUAGACGGUGGGGUAACGGCCCACCGUGCCAGUAAUCGGUACGGGUUGUGAGAGCAAGAGCCCGGAGACGGUAUCUGAGACAAGAUACCGGGCCCUACGGGGCGCAGCAGGCGCGAAACCUUUACACUGCACGCCAGUGCGAUAAGGGGACUCCAAGUGCGAGGGCAUAUAGUCCUCGCUUUUUGCGACCGUAAGGUGGUCGCGGAAUAAGUGCUGGGCAAGACCGGUGCCAGCCGCCGCGGUAAUACCGGCAGCACGAGUGAUGACCGCUGUUAUUGGGCCUAAAGCGUCCGUAGCUGGCCGCGCAAGUCUAUCGGGAAAUCUCUUCGCUUAACGGAGAGGCGUCCGGUGGAAACUGUGUGGCUUGGGACCGGAAGACUAGAGGGGUACGUCUGGGGUAAGGA